GAAGGCUGAAAUUCGCCUUCAUGAAGCCGGAAUUGCUAGUAAUGGCAGGUCAGCAUACUGCCGUGAAUACGUUCCCGGGCCUUGUACACACCGCCCGUCACACCAUGAGAGUCGAUAACACCCGAAGCCUGUAGUCUAACCAUAAGGGGGACGCAGUCGAAGGUGGGAUUGAUAAUUAGGGUGAAGUCGUAACAAGGUAAC
rnacentral:rRNA from 1 species